CAGGGGAUAGUUUAAGUAGAACACCAGCUUUGGGUGCUGGUAGUGGGGUUGUUGCUCCUUCCUUGAG
rnacentral:tRNA from 1 species